rfam:Ralstonia solanacearum GMI1000 chromosome complete sequence
UCCCCCGCGACGCCUCCCUGACGCGGGCCCCAUCGACGGCUCGAUGGGUCAUUCCCCCCGUUGCGCGUCUGGCGACGGGGUUUUUUUU